GGAUUGACUGAGGAAAACAGUCAGGUUUGUUCUAUUACUUCAAUAUGAAAGUUUGCUUCACAUAAAUCUAGUUUAGAGAAAUUUUUCAUGAACUGUAGUUAAUUGUUUGUAUGCACAUUGUUACACAUCCUUUGUCAUGCAAGGAGCAAAAUUCUUGUAUUUAUUUAUGGAUCCUAUUUAAAAUACAUUUUCAGUCCUAUGCCUAUAGAAGUAGGGUCUCUAUAUAUUGACAAAUUUCUUUCUUAUUAUAAAUUAAAUUAAACUAACU
rnacentral:misc_RNA from 1 species